GCGUUAUUAAGUUGUUGCGGUUAAAAAGCUCGUAGUUGGAUUUCUGUUGAGGACGGCCGGUCCGCACUAUGUGCGUGUAUCUGGUUCGGCCUCGGCAUCCUCUUGAGGAACGUUUCUGCGCUUGAUUGCGUGGAGCGGUAUUCAAGACUUUUACUUUGAGGAAAUUAGAGUGUUCACGGCAGGCAAGCGCCUUGAAUAUGUUAGCAUGGAAUAAUAAUAUAGGAUCUUGGU
rnacentral:rRNA from 1 species